AUUCUAUCAUAAAAAGGGGUGGGGGAGAGUAGAUCAGGCAGACACAAUCACUGAAGGAGGAGAGUACAGGAGAUUUAGAGGAAGAAGAUCUGUGAAGAGGUUUGGGAGGAGUUAAGAAGGGAAAGCAAUCAGUCAUUUUUCCAAAGGCCAGUCUGCAGGGCUGGGACUGAGCACAGGCUGAAAUCAAGGUUGGACUACCUCUCAGCCCUUCUCAAGCCCUCCAGGCCUAGCAGUCUCCAUCUGAUCCUGUAUUGGAAAUGGGCAUGGAAGAUGCCACAACUUCUCAAGCUUUCCCUAGGAAAAGGGGUGGGUGAACUUCUGGCCUGAAGAAUCUGAGGAUGGAAGGUCAACUUUGCUCUUCUCCUGGGUUCUGGAACCAGACCUUCCUAACCUGCUCUGCUCACCUGGAGCCCCAGCCCACUGUCACCCAUGCCCUCAUCUCCAGACUCUUCUUCCAGCAAGUAAGAGUCACAGCAGCUAGGCUUGCAAAGCAGGGAUGGUGGCUUGGAGCACCAGCUUCCGUGUCAAGCAGGGCAGGCUGCACUCCCAGCGCCCUGGUGCCUCUGGCUCUCGAGGCUUGUUCCUCAUCUCUAGCUCCCUCACAGAGUUGUCCUGAGGCUCACAAUGGGAACACAUCAAUAAAUUACCUAUUGCAUUAAAAUGAGUUGUUAUUAUUGGCACAAUUGUUAUUGACGCUUAAGCCUGAAGGCAAAUAAAUGAUUUUUAGCUGC
rnacentral:lncRNA from 1 species